UAACUGUUUCAUUCUCUGGUCCAGACCCCAGGACGCAGAGCAAGGAAGGCAAAGUGCAGGCAAGAAAUCCAGGUCACCGGCAUACGUGUGAGUGACAGGAAGAAAAGCUCUGAAAACUAUUGCUGAUGAUACACACAUACCAACAGGCCAUCAGUUGGAGUGGACCUCCUGGCCCACAAUGCACCUGUACACGUCUCCUUUCCUGUUAUUGGGAGGUCCAUCCCAGGGAGCGCCCACCAGCAUCCUGCACCAAGGAGGAUACAUGAAAUUGGUUACCGUCUCCCGGAAGAUCAACAGGUUUCCGUCCGUAACUUACGAUUUCUCUCCCUCCGUUUCAAGCUGCAACACGGAGAAGCCAAAGAGGGCGUCAUCCGGGCCGCUAAAUAUCCGCGGAUGCUUGACGUCGAUGUUGAAGCACUGACACAAGCCUGCAGAAGCAAGAAAGAGUGACGGUUAUACUAAUCACUUAUAAAAUACUUAUAUGAGUAUUCAACAUACAGUAUGCGAGUACUUAUAUGGAGUACUGGACGGUCCACCGAGUGACAGAAAAUAUCAUGUAUAAAUGCAGCAUCAAAUCAAAUGAAAAAUAUUUUUAAAACGUUAUCAAGCCAA